GUCCACGCUGUAAACGAUGGAUACUAGAUGUCGGGGGCCUUACCCCCUCGGUGUCGACGCUAACGCAUUAAGUAUCCCGCCUGGGGAGUACGGCCGCAAGGUUAAAACUCAAAGGAAUUGACGGGGGCCCGCACAAGCGGUGGAGUAUGUGGUUUAAUUCGACGCAACGCGAAAAACCUUACCUAGGCUUGACAUCCCGCGCAUAACCCUGAAAGGGGCAAAAUUCUCGCAAGAGACGCGGUGACAGGUGCUGCAUGGCUGUCGU
rnacentral:rRNA from 1 species